AGUGAACGCUGGCGGUAGGCCUAACACAUGCAAGUCGAACGGCAGCACAGUAAGAGCUUGCUCUUACGGGUGGCGAGUGGCGGACGGGUGAGGAAUACAUCGGAAUCUACUUUUUCGUGGGGGAUAACGUAGGGAAACUUACGCUAAUACCGCAUACGACCUACGGUUGAAAGCAGGGGAUCUUCGGACCUUGUGCGAUUGAAUGAGCGGAUGUCGGAUUAGCUGGUUGGCGGGGUAAGGGCCUACCAAGGCGACGAUCCGUAGCUGGUCUGAGAGGCUGAUCGGCCACACUGGAACGUAGACACGGUCCAGACUCCUACGGGAGGCCGCAGUGGGGAAUAGUGGGCAAUGGGCGGGAGCCUGAUCCAGCCAUACCGCGUGGGUGAAGGAGGCCUUCGGGUUGUAAAGCCCUUUUGUUGGGAAAGAAACGCAGCAGGUUGAUACCCCGCUGUUCUGACGGUACCCAAAGAAUAAGCACCGGCUAACUUCGUG
rnacentral:rRNA from 1 species